GGGUUCGUAGCUCAGUUGGUUAGAGCGCUUGCUCGACAUGCAAGAGGUCAGAAGUUCGACUCUUCUCGGGCCCA
rnacentral:tRNA from 1 species